GACGUAGGGCGCGAGCGUUGUCCGGAAUUACUGGGCGUAAAGAGCUCGUAGGUGGUUUGUCGCGUUGUCCGUGAAAACUCACAGCUCAACUGUGGGCGUGCGGGCGAUACGGGCAGACUGGAGUACUGCAGGGGAGACUGGAAUUCCUGGUGUAGCGGUGGAAUGCGCAGAUAUCAGGAGGAACACCGGUGGCGAAGGCGGGGUCUCUGGGGCAGUAACUGACGCUGGAGGAGCGAAAAGCGUGGGGAGCGAACAGG
rnacentral:rRNA from 1 species